GCAAUUCUUCUUAUUUUCAAAUUGAAUGAGAAACAGUAAAACAUAGAAUUGAAAACAAAACAAACCGAAUUGAAAACUGGAAAUAAAAUGAGAAACAAUAAAACUUGGGGAAUCUUCUCUCCUUCCGAUUCGCUCUAUUCCAGAUACAAGGGAGGCUACCGUUGGUUGAGAUUUGUUGCCUAGAGUUAGAAGGAUGUAAGUAAAACGGCACAUGUUUGGAGGUUUUACCGUCGUUGGGAAACAAUGGAUAUUCUUCGCGGAUAUAUGGAUUUCUCUGUGUACGUUGGUAUGUUGAGAGAGGCGCAUGGGUUUUGACUCUGAGGAGUGGGGAAGAAUGCGUGAGAUCGAGGCUGUGACUGCAACCUGCGACAGGUGAGAGAAGGGAAACAUCAGAGAAGGGUGAGGGAGUGCAAUAA
rnacentral:misc_RNA from 1 species